rnacentral:rRNA from 1 species
GAUGAACGCUGGCGGCGUGCCUAAUACAUGCAAGUCGAGCGAACGGACGAGAAGCUUGCUUCUCUGAUGUUAGCGGCGGACGGGUGAGUAACACGUGGAUAACCUACCUAUAAGACUGGGAUAACUUCGGGAAACCGGAGCUAAUACCGGAUGAUAUUUUGAACCGCAUGGUUCAAAAGUGAAAGACGGUCUUGCUGUCACUUAUAGAUGGAUCCGCGCUGCAUUAGCUAGUUGGUAAGGUAACGGCUUACCAAGGCAACGAUGCAUAGCCGACCUGAGAGGGUGAUCGGCCACACUGGAACUGAGACACGGUCCAGACUCCUACGGGAGGCAGCAGUAGGGAAUCUUCCGCAAUGGGCGAAAGCCUGACGGAGCAACGCCGCGUGAGUGAUGAAGGUCUUUGGAUCGUAAAACUCUGUUAUUAGGGAAGAACAUAUGUGUAAGUAACUGUGCACAUCUUGACGGUACCUAAUCAGAAAGCCACGGCUAACUACGUG